rnacentral:rRNA from 1 species
CCUACGGGAGGCAGCAGUGAGGAAUAUUGGUCAAUGGCCGGAAGGCUGAACCAGCCAUGCCGCGUGCAGGUCAGUGCCCUAUGGGCGUUAAACUUCUUUUGUGCGGGAGCAAUAAUGGUCACGUGUGGCCAGACGAGAGUACCGUACGAAUAAGCAUCGGCUAACUCCGUGCCAGCAGCCGCGGUAAUACGGGGGAUGCAAGCGUUAUCCGGAUUUAUUGGGUUUAAAGGGUGCGUAGGCUGUGAGGUAAGUCAGCGGUGAAAUGCCCCCGCUCAACGGGGUGAAGUGCCAUUGAUACUGGCUGGCUGGAAUGCGGAUGCCGUAGGAGGAAUGUGUGGUGUAGCGGUGAAAUGCAUAGAUAUCACACAGAACACCGAUUGCGAAGGCAUCUCACGAAUCCGCGAUUGACGCUGAUGCACGAAAGCGUGGGUAUCAAACAGGAUUAGAUACCCGAGUAGUC